UACAGAGGGUGCGAGCGUUGUCCGGAUUUAUUGGGCGUAAAGAGCUCGUAGGCGGUGUGUCGCGUCGGCCGUGAAAACCUGCAGCUUAACUGUGGGCUUGCGGUCGAUACGGGCAUCACUGGAGUUCGGCAGGGGAGACUGGAAUUCCUGGUGUAGCGGUGAAAUGCGCAGAUAUCAGGAGGAACACCGGUGGCGAAGGCGGGUCUCUGGGCCGAUACUGACGCUGAGGAGCGAAAGCGUGGGGAGCGAACAGG
rnacentral:rRNA from 1 species